GCGGACCUACGGGGCCGCAUAACCUUUCAGGCCCAAAUUGGUCUGAGCUAAACGGAAGACAGAAA
rnacentral:ncRNA from 1 species